UGGGGAAUAUUGGACAAUGGGCGCAAGCCUGAUCCAGCCAUGCCGCGUGAGUGAUGAAGGCCUUAGGGUUGUAAAGCUCUUUUGUCCGGGACGAUAAUGACGGUACCGGAAGAAUAAGCCCCGGCUAACUUCGUGCCAGCAGCCGCGGUAAUACGAAGGGGGCUAGCGUUGCUCGGAAUCACUGGGCGUAAAGGGCGCGUAGGCGGCCAUUCAAGUCGGGGGUGAAAGCCUGUGGCUCAACCACAGAAUUGCCUUCGAUACUGUUUGGCUUGAGUAUGGUAGAGGUCGGUGGAACUGCGAGUGUAGAGGUGAAAUUCGUAGAUAUUCGCAAGAACACCAGUGGCGAAGGCGGCCGACUGGACCAUUACUGACGCUGAGGCGCGAAAGCGUGGGGAGCAAACAG
rnacentral:rRNA from 1 species